CAGAGCUGGGGGCUCAGGAGGCAACAUUCUCAGGGCAUCACCACCAUGGCUUGGGCUCUGCUUGUCCUCACUCUCCUUACCCAGGGCACAGGAUCCUGGUCUCAGUCUGCUCUGACUCAGCCUCCAUCAGCCUCUGGGUCUGCAGGACAGACAGUCACCAUCUCCUGUGCUGGAACCAGCAAUGAUAUUGGGAGAUAUAAUUAUGUCUCCUGGUAUCGAAAUCUCCCAGGAUCAUCCCCCACACUCCUGAUUUAUGGAGUCACUAAUCGUCCCUCUGGGAUACCUGAUCGCUUCUCUGGCUCCAAGUCUGGCAACACUGCCUCUCUGACCAUUUCUAGACUUCAGCCUGAGGAUGAGGCUGAUUAUUACUGCUGCUCCUAUACAAGCAGCCACACUUUACACAGUGUUCCAAGUUCAUGGGGAAGAGGGUCUAAAACCUGCCCUGAGUUCACAUUUUCCUCUUCACUCUGA